CAGAAACAUGCUUCUUUCCCCAUGUGGGUCUGUGCUUCCUCCCUUUCUGAAAACAUGAAAGAAAGAAAGCUUCACAGCUGAAGAAUGGCUGCUCCAGGUGACAAAAGGAUAUGCUUCAUGUAGUGGACUGUACUGGGUUUUGGGAAUAGAAAGAAAGAGAAGAAAUAAACAGCUUCUGCCUCCAAGAUCUUAUAUUCAACCAGGGAAACAUGCUAUAACCUUUUAGAGGGCAGGAAACAUAAUUCACUUGGCUUGCUCCUAU